rnacentral:rRNA from 1 species
AUGCAAGUAGAACGGGCCCUGAGAGCAAUCGAAGGGUCAGUUGCGAACGGCUGAGUAACACGUAAGAAUCUACCCUUUGGCGGAGAAUACCUCACCGAAAGGUGAGUUAAUACUCCAUAAUAUAAAUUCCGAGAAGACAACCUAAGGUUUUCUUCUCGGCGCAAUCUUUGAGCAAAGCUCAAUUUGACUUCGACAAAACGAUUGCUGCUCUUCUUUCCCUUUAUCAAAGGAGGGAGAGCAGCGAACGAACUCGAAGAGCAAGCUUUGCUUGGUGAGCGCCGAGAGGGAACCAUGGGAUGCCCUCUCGGAGUUUAUUAAAGGAUGUAACUAUCCACCGAAGGAGGAGCUUGCGGCCUAUCAGCUAGUUGGUGGGGUAAUGGCCUACCAAGGCAGUGACGGGUAGGGGACGUGAGAGCGUGACCCCCCAGAACGGGACUGAGACACGGUCCGUACACCUACGGGUGGCAGCAACUGGGAAUCGUGCGCAAUGGACGAAAGUCUGACGCCGCGACGCCGCGUGAGGGAUGAAGGCUUUUGGGUCGUAAACCUCUUUUGACCUGCGGGACACCAAAGGUAGAAUAAGCACCGGCUAACUCUGUGCCAGCAGCAGCGGUGAUACAGAGGGUGCAAGCGUUGUCCGGAUUUAUUGGGCGUAAAGAGUUCGUAGGCUUUUUCUUAAGUCGUCUUUCAAAUACCGAGGCUCAACCUCGGGCCGGGGGACGAUACUGGGAAAAUUGAAAAGUUUCGGGGCUACUGGAACUUACGGUGUAGGAGUGAAAUCCGUUGAUAUCGUAAGGAACACCGAGGGCGAAGGCGGGUAGCUAGGAACAUUUUGACGCUGAGGGACGAAAGCUAGGGGAGCGAAAGGGAUUAGAGACCCCUGUAGUCCUAGCCGUAAACUGUGCUCGCUAGGGAUAGGACUCGCAAAGCGUAUAAGCUUUGCGAGAAUGCUAAAUGCUAAAUUUCAAAUGCUAAAUGUUUAAGAGAAAUAGUUUCUUUAAUUUAUCAUUUGUCAUUGGCCAUUUGACAUUUGAGCAAAAUGCUUCUGCAUUUUGCGAGUUCUGUUCCGUAAGCUAACGCGUGAAGCGAGCCGCCUGGGGAGUACGAGCGCAAGCUUAAAACUCAAAGGAAUUGACGGGGACCCGCACAACCAGUGGAGCAUGUGGUUUAAUUCGAGACGAACCGAAGAACCUUACCGGGGUUUGACAUUCUAGCUGCACAUCCUAAGAGAUUAGGAUUUCUUCGAGAGUGCUAGAACAGGUGUUGCAUGGCUGUCGUCAGCUCGUGUCGUGGGAUGUUCCCUUCAGUGGGGUAACGAGCGCAACCCUUGUCGUAUGUUAAAUGUUCAUACGAGACUACCCAAUUUAUUUGGGUGGAAGUGGGGAUGAUGUCAAGUCAGCAUGGCCCUUAUGUCCCGGGCGACACACAUGUUACAAUGGCGCAAACAAAGGGUUGCCAAGCCGUAAGGUGGAGCUAAUCCCAAAAAUUGCGUCUCAGUGGGGAUUGGGGGCUGCAACUCGCCCUCAUGAACGCGGAAUUGGUAGUAA